rnacentral:tRNA from 1 species
GCACCCUUAGCUCAGUUGGUAGAGCAGCGCUUUUACACAGCGAAGGUCGUAGGUUCGAAUCCUACAGGGUGCA